rnacentral:rRNA from 1 species
AUUGAACGCUGGCGGCAUGCUUUACACAUGCAAGUCGAACGGUAACAGCACUUCGGUGGCUGACGAGUGGCGAACGGGUGCGUAAUACAUCGGAACGUGCCUAGUAGUGGGGGAUAACUACUCGAAAGAGUAGCUAAUACCGCAUGAGAUCUAAGGAUUAAAGCAGGGGACCUUCGGGCCUUGCGCUACUAGAGCGGCUGAUGGCAGAUUAGGUAGUUGGUGGGAUAAAAGCUUACCAAGCCGACGAUCUGUAGCUGGUCUGAGAGGACGACCAGCCACACUGGGACUGAGACACGGCCCAGACUCCUACGGGAGGCAGCAGUGGGGAAUUUUGGACAAUGGGCGCAAGCCUGAUCCAGCAAUGCCGCGUGCAGGAUGAAGGCCUUCGGGUUGUAAACUGCUUUUGUACGGAACGAAAAGCCCUCUUCUAAUACAGGAGGGUCAUGACGGUACCGUAAGAAUAAGCACCGGCUAACUACGUG